rnacentral:rRNA from 1 species
AGAGUUUGAUCCUGGCUCAGGACGAACGCUGGCGGCAUGCCUAAUACAUGCAAGUCGAGCGAACAGAUGAAGUGCUUGCACUUCUGACGUUAGCGGCGAACGGGUGAGUAACACGUAAGGAAUCUACCUAUAAGCGGGGGAUAACAUUCGGAAACGGGUGCUAAUACCGCAUAAUAUUUUCUUCCGCAUGGAAGAAGAUUGAAAGACGGCUCUGCUGUCACUUAUAGAUGACCUUGCGGUGCAUUAGUUAGUUGGUGGGGUAAUGGCCUACCAAGACGAUGAUGCAUAGCCGACCUGAGAGGGUGAUCGGCCACAUUGGGACUGAGACACGGCCCAAACUCCUACGGGAGGCAGCAGUAGGGAAUCCUCCGCAAUGGGCGAAAGCCUGACGGAGCAAUGCCGCGUGAGUGAAGAAGGCCUUCGGGUCGUAAAACUCUGUUAUAAGAGAAGAACAAAUUGUAGAGUAACUGCUACAGUCUUGACGGUAUCUUAUCAGAAAGCCACGGCUAACUACGUGCCAGCAGCCGCGGUAAUACGUAGGUGGCAAGCGUUGUCCGGAUUUAUUGGGCGUAAAGGGAGCGCAGGUGGUUUCUUAAGUCUGAUGUGAAAGCCCACGGCUUAACCGUGGAGGGUCAUUGGAAACUGGGAAACUUGAGUACAGAAGAGGAGUGUGGAACUCCAUGUGUAGCGGUGGAAUGCGUAGAUAUAUGGAAGAACACCAGUGGCGAAGGCGACAUUCUGGUCUGUUACUGACACUGAGGCUCAAAAGCGUGGGGAGCAAACAGGAUUAGAUACCCUGGUAGUCC